CAGCCCCUGGCGUGGAUCCAGCUCGCUUUCUCCUUGACCCGUCUCCACCAAAAGCGCCGCCGCCACGGGUCCCCGCCACCAGCUCCCGUUCCGCAAAUAGCAGCAAAGGAGCGCCUCGCUCCCCAGAUGAAUGCCCCCCCUGACCCCUGUCCCGAUGCCUGCCCCACUGAGAGAAACCCUCAGAGGCCGUGCCCUUGUAAACACCUCGCCCUCCGGUGACAGGGGACAGGGACGUGACACCAAACCGCGCCGUCCCCAAGUGUCCCUCCUCUGGAUGGGGACAGGCAGCAGGGCACGAUGCGGGCAGGACGGGCUGAUCCUGGCUCCUAGGAGCAUUUCAUUCCCAAACAGGGCCUCCUGUGCGAGGGGCUUGUCGGCGUGAUGCAGGAGAGCAGGAGCACCCAUCUGCGUCCUCGCUGUCCGGGUGCCACCACGGCAGCACCGAGCCAGCCAGCCACCAAAAUCCCCCCCAGCCACCAAAAGGACCUUCCUGCCAGCCCGGCCCCUUGAGCAGGAGCAUCUCUGUUAUCCUGGGAAAUGGCGAAUUGGGAUUUUUUCGCCUCCCUCUUCCCCCCACCCCCGUUUCCCUCCCCCAGCUCUUUUUUUCCGCAUCAUAAGCAAAGUCCUCAUCAAGCUCCCAUCCCCACUGCCAGCCCUGCGCCAUGCUCCCAGCAGAAAAGAGAUGCAAAGCCACGCUUGGAAUCUGAUUCCCCGGCUUUAAACGCUGCUCUGCCAGCAAAGUGCGACUUGAAAGCUCCCCUGUCACAGUUACAAAGCUCCGAACAGCCCUUCCUCGGAUAAUCACGCUUAUCUCCAGAUUAAGAAAGAGAGACCUGCAGCUGAGGCUGGUCACAUGGGCCGGGAUGUGGGCAAAUCUCUUUUAAACAAUCCCCAGAUAGCUCUGACCUCCGCCGCAGCCCCGGGACCCAGCCCCAAGUUCCCACUCCACAGCCCAGCUCCGGAGGCACGCCGGGGAGGGGAACCCGCCGGGGAGAGCAGGGGCACCACGAAACUGGGGGAGGAGUGAGAAAACGCCGCGGCGGAGGAGGCGCGGGGCGGUGGAAGGAGCGAGCAGCCAGGGGAGGAGGUUUUUGGGGCUGCUCGCCCCACGCUCUGCCACCUCCCAGCCAGGCUCCUGCAGGACCCCGCUGCCCCUCCACACCUCCGCGGCCAGCACCAGGACCCCGGCGUGGAGCAGAGAGCGAUGCCCCCAGACCUCGGCACGCAGCAGAACCUCCCCAAGCAGCCUGGCUUCGAAGCAGCCUCGUGUCAGCCCCGAAUUUCCCUGCUCUUCCCGCUCAGGGGCAGGCGGCAGCACGGGCAGCGACGGCACCUCGCCUCGCUACAGCCUCUUCUUGCUCUGCUCGAGGAAUCUGCAUGGGCUCUGAGGUCUCGGUGAUUUAA
rnacentral:lncRNA from 1 species